rnacentral:rRNA from 1 species
UGGGGAAUAUUGCACAAUGGGCGAAAGCCUGAUGCAGCGACGCCGCGUGAGGGAUGACGGCCUUCGGGUUGUAAACCUCUUUCAGUAGGAACGAAGCGCAAGUGACGGUACCUGCAGAAGAAGCACCGGCUAACUACGUGCCAGCAGCCGCGGUAAUACGUAGGGUGCGAGCGUUGUCCGGAAUUACUGGGCGUAAAGAGCUCGUAGGCGGUUUGUCACGUCGUCUGUGAAAUCCUAGGGCUUAACCCUGGACGUGCAGGCGAUACGGGCUGACUUGAGUACUACAGGGGAGACUGGAAUUUCUGGUGUAGCGGUGGAAUGCACAGAUAUCAGGAAGAACACCGAUGGCGAAGGCAGGUCUCUGGGUAGUAACUGACGCUGAGGAGCGAAAGCAUGGGUAGCGAACAGG